UACGAAGGGGGCUAGCGUUGCUCGGAAUUACUGGGCGUAAAGUGUGCGCAGGCGGCCGCGCAAGUCGAGUGUGAAAGCCCCGGGCUUAACUUGGGAAUUGCGCUCGAAACUACGUGGCUGGAGUGUGGCAGAGGAAGGUGGAAUUCCAGGUGUAGCGGUGAAAUGCGUAGAGAUCUGGAGGAACACCGAUGGCGAAGGCAGACUUCUGGGCCAACACUGACGCUCAUGCACGAAAGCGUGGGGAGCAAACAGG
rnacentral:rRNA from 1 species